CGUCCUACGGGACGCAGCAGUGGGGAAUAUUGCACAAUGGGGGGAACCCUGAUGCAGCGACGCCGCGUGGGUGAAGGAGCACCUCGGUGCGUAAAGCCCUAUCGGCAGGGAAGAAAAGCGAACAGGUUCGCCUGGACGGUACCUGACUAAGAAGCCCCGGCUAACUACGUGCCAGCAGCCGCGGGAAUACGUAGGGGGCAAGCGUUAUCCGGAUUUACUGGGUGUAAAGGGAGCGCAGGCGGCGCGUUAAGCCUGGUGUGAAAGCCCGCGGCCCAACCGCGGGCC
rnacentral:rRNA from 1 species